GUCACGAUAGCUCAAGUGGUAGAGCGACGGCGUAUUGAGCCGAAGGUCGUGGGUUCGAAUCCCGCUCGUGACA
rnacentral:tRNA from 1 species